UGGGGAAUAUUGGACAAUGGGCGAAAGCCUGAUCCAGCCAUGCCGCGUGUGUGAAGAAGGUCUUCGGAUUGUAAAGCACUUUAAGUUGGGAGGAAGGGCAGUAAGCUAAUACCUUGCUGUUUUGACGUUACCGACAGAAUAAGCACCGGCUAACUUCGUG
rnacentral:rRNA from 1 species